rnacentral:rRNA from 1 species
GUGGGGAAUAUUGCACAAUGGGCGAAAGCCUGAUGCAGCAACGCCGCGUGAAGGAUGAAGGCCUUUGGGUCGUAAACUUCUGUCCUUGGGGAAGAAAAAAAUGACGGUACCCCUGGAGGAAGUCCCGGCUAACUACGUGCCAGCAGCCGCGGUAAUACGUAGGGGGCGAGCGUUAUCCGGGAUUAUUGGGCGUAAAGAGUACGUAGGUGGUUUUUUAAGCGCGGGGUUUAAGGCGAUGGCUCAACUGUCGUUCGCCAUGUGAACUGGAAGACUUGAGGACAGGAGAGGAAAGCGGAAUUCCUAGUGUAGCGGUGAAAUGCAGAGAUAUUAGGAGGAACAACAGUGGCGAAGGCGGCUUUCUGGACUGUAACUGACACUGAGGUACGAAAGCGUGGGGAGCAAACAGGAUUAGAUACCCGGGUAGUCC